GCCAUUUUCAUCUUCAAUUCUUGCACAAAAACUUCAUGGAUUCACACCAAAUUUGAACUACACUUAGCUUGUCACUUGGAGAGAUCAUCUAGCUAGUAAAAGGAGGAAUUUCUCACGGUUUCUUGGAGCAUCUUGAGGACCGAAAUUUCUGGUUUAAAGCAACAAGGAGGUAUAACCUCAUCCUACACCUUAAACUUGGAUUAUGAUAGUAGAAAUGCAUCUUUAAGCUAUUGCAUGUGUAUGGGUGUCUUGAUAUUGUUGAAAAAUUUGAAAAGUGGGCUCUAUGGAUUCCCACACUUGGGUUGUUGCUGAUUUGAUGAUUGAUGGUGGUUAUAUUGUUGGUUUAGUGGUUAAAAUGAUGGAUUAAUGGUGUGAAAUUAGUAGAAACUUCAUUGGGUGUAAGAAGCUAAAAUUUCCGAUUUUGCCCCUGCAAUGUUCGGCCAUUUCCAGGCCAAUUUUUAAUGGUAUAAUGGCUUGAAUUGGAUGUUUAUAGGAUGUAUUAGAUGUGUGAAAAAUUUCAUUGGAAAAUAUUGAGGUUUGAUUGAGCAAAUGAAUUUUUCUUGAGAAACUAGCAAAUCUGGAAAACUGUUCGCGUAUGAUUCUGACCAGUGGUAGUAUUUUGGCUAUAACUCUGUCCUCGGAUGUCGAAAUCAUGUGCCAUUGAUGGCGUUGGAAACUAGACAUUCCUGGCUUUAAUUUGGUAUAUAAUGCACGUUCUGAUUCUUUGUGAGCAAGCCAAACCAAAUGUUUUAAGCUCGCUGUCCUGUUGCUCUGUUCAUCUGGAAUGGAGUGUUCAGGCAGCAACUUGAUGCCCGAUUUUGAACCAGAUGGGUGCCGAAUUUGGAAACGAUUUCCUCUGUGGUAUUUUAGCCCUAUAAAUGUAUUUUCCAACGGCGUAAGCCAUGCUCGAUUCCGAGUUAAAUUGAUUGAGUUGUGACUAAAACAAGAGGACUGCCCUGUUUUGGAAAAACGUAAUAUUUGGACUGAUUUGGGACAAAAACUUGGGAGUGAUCUUAUUAAUUGAAAUUUUGGUGCUAAACACUUACCAAAGGCAUUAUGGAUGUUUCUUAGGCCUUUAUUUCACAAAUGAACCAUGAUUGGAUAGUUUGCUUGAUUAAACGUUUUGAAAUGGGUAAUGAAAGUCAAAAGGCAGAUUGCCUUAGAAAUUUUCUGAAACUUUGGAUGAUUAGUUAACUACCUUCCCGAGGGUAUUUUUCCCUGAAUUUUGACAGAGAGAUACCUUCCAUAUAGUAUUGAAAUACUGCCAAUUUUGGUGUCAAUCCAAGUUCGUUUCGAUACCUAAUUAAAUUUCUAGAGUUGGAGGUUCAAAUCUGGAAAAUUCUUCUCCAGUCUUGAAUUUUCCCCAACUUUGAGCUACCGUAUCUCGGUACUCAAAACUCCGAUUCUUGAUCCGCUUACUUUGCUAUACACCUCACUUGCAACUCUAAUUGGGUUACAAAUUUCAGAGGCCGGUUUGCAACGUGUAAAUCGUGCCGAAUUUUCAAAGUUGGCCGAAAUCCAACUUAAUGCUGCCUUGAAACCAAGUCUGCACCUUCAAGCCCAUUUUUGAGCACUUUCCACUUCGAUUCAUGGAAAAGUGUCUUCUAGGAACUUAUAGUAAUUUCUAAGAGGUUUCCAACGGUAUAAAGUUUUCCAAUUUUCGACUUGUACCGAGUGAGUUACGAUUUUUCAAAGAUUCAUGAUAAAGCUGAAAAUUUUCCAAUUUCAAAGAAAUAGAGUUUUUCAAGAACUCUUUACACUUUUGAUAUUAUCUAAACGUUUUGCCCACGAUUUUCAUGAUAAAAACUCAACUAAUAUUAUACUUCAUAAAACGCAAGUUGAACCUCGAUUUACGAGUAAUUGAGGUUCAUUUUUGUGAAAUAUUCCUUAGAUCGUAUUAAUGUACAAUCUUACUUGAUAAUUGAGAUACUUGAGUAAUUAUCCACCAUUAACUGCCAGGCACACAAGGAGACCUUCAAGAGGAUCUCACCGUGGACACUUGAACUCCAGCGAAUAAUCUUUAUUAAAUUGCUCGGUGAGUGUCAAGUGUGUGAAUCUUUGAUACUUGCUUAAUUGUGGUAAUUAUUAGAGAUUUUAAAAAUAAGGGCGGGUGUGUACUUUAUCGCAUCCGUUCUGAUUUCAAAUGAAUGAAUGAAAUGUAUUGAAUGAAUGAAUGAAAUGCAAUGCUAUGUAAUGGUUACAUAUGUCGUUGGAGUGAACCUCCUCGACUUCCAAAUGAAUGGGGGACGCCCAAACUCAUACGCCGACCUUGAACUCGAGCCGGCAAUGGGCUUGGUCGGGAACUUGGGCGAGCCAUGAGAUUAUAAGCUCGACCUAAUAAGAGGUCCUGCUUGGCAUAUUCGUAGAGUAUCGCCUUAUAACAGACUUGUGGGCCCUUGGGUGUACGGUGGACGGAGGGAAGUAAGUGGUGAUCUACGGAAAUGGAAAUAUCGACCCGGUUGACAGGAGGGUCAAUGCGGGAAGGUAUACGAAUGACAUCGGCAGAGCGAGUGGAACUUAGCUCCUGAGAGCUACUAUAUCCUUGAAUUGUUUCUGAUUAUUUUUCCUGCUCAAAUGGUACUUUAUUGAAAUAUCAUGGUUUUAUUUAAUAAAGUUGAGAUUGCUAUUUGAACAAUGUGCUUGCAUGUGUGUCCUUGGCCUCACGAGCGUUUUGCUCACCCUGUAGAUUUGUUUUCCUUAACAGGACUGGAAAUGGAGUUAACGCGGAGAAAUCUCCUUUUGGAUAUAUUUUGUUUUAGGGUUUCAGGUGUAUUUUGGCUUGACCCCUUUAUGAUUGUACUUUGGAAGUUUAAUGUAUCAUUCGGAUAUCUGUGAUGUAUAUUUUGAAAUUUAAAUUGUAUUAUGAACGCACGACGUGCGGGUGGCAAGCUGAUAGGUACCUUGUGAUGUAACCAUGAGAACUG
rnacentral:lncRNA from 1 species